GAGCUUGCUUCCUCAAUCGAGUGGCGAACGGGUGAGUAACGCGUGAGGAACCUGCCUCAAAGAGGGGGACAACAGUUGGAAACGACUGCUAAUACCGCAUAAGCCCACAGGUCGGCAUCGACCAGAGGGAAAAGGAGCAAUCCGCUUUGAGAUGGCCUCGCGUCCGAUUAGCUAGUUGGUGAGGUAAUGGCCCACCAAGGCAACGAUCGGUAGCCGGACUGAGAGGUUGAACGGCCACAUUGGGACUGAGACACGGCCCAGACUCCUACGGGAGGCAGCAGUGGGGAAUAUUGCACAAUGGGGGAAACCCUGAUGCAGCGACGCCGCGUGGAGGAAGAAGGUCUUCGGAUUGUAAACUCCUGUUGUUGAGGAAGAUAAUGACGGUACUCAACAAGGAAGUGACGGCUAACUACGUGCCAGCAGCCGCGGUAAAACGUAGGUCACAAGCGUUGUCCGGAAUUACUGGGUGUAAAGGGAGCGCAGGCGGGAAGACAAGUUGGAAGUGAAAUCUAUGGGCUCAACCCAUAAACUGCUUUCAAAACUGUUUUUCUUGAGUAGUGCAGAGGUAGGCGGAAUUCCCGGUGUAGCGGUGGAAUGCGUAGAUAUCGGGAGGAACACCAGUGGCGAAG
rnacentral:rRNA from 1 species